GUGACCUCAAAUCAGGUAGGACUACCCGCUGAACUUAAGCAUAUCAAUAAGCGGAGGAAAAGAAACUAACAAGGAUUCCCCUAGUAACUGCGAGUGAAGCGGGAAAAGCUCAAAUUUAAAAUCUGGCAGUCUCUGGCUGUCCGAGUUGUAAUCUAGAGAAGUGUUAUCCGCGCUGGACCGUGUACAAGUCUCCUGGAAUGGAGCGUCAUAGAGGGUGAGAAUCCCGUCUUUGACACGGACUGCCAGGGCUUUGUGAUGCGCUCUCAAAGAGUCGAGUUGUUUGGGAAUGCAGCUCAAAAUGGGUGGUAAAUUCCAUCUAAAGCUAAAUAUUGGCGAGAGACCGAUAGCGAACAAGUACCGUGAGGGAAAGAUGAAAAGAACUUUGGAAAGAGAGUUAAACAGUACGUGAAAUUGCUGAAAGGGAAACGCUUGAAGUCAGUCGCGUUGGCCAGGGAUCAACCUUGCUUUUGCUUGGUGCACUUUCUGGUUGACGGGUCAGCAUCAAUUUUGACCAUUGGAAAAAGGUCAAGGGAAUGUGGCAUCUUCGGAUGUGUUAUAGCCCUUAGCUGCAUACAAUGGUUGGGAUUGAGGAACUCAGCACGCCGCAAGGCCGGGUUUUAACCACGUACGUGCUUAGGAUGCUGGCAUAAUGGCUUUAAUCGACCCGUCUUGAAACACGGACCAAGGAGUCUAACAUGCCUGCGAGUGUUUGGGUGGAAAACCCGAGCGCGCAAUGAAAGUGAAAGUUGAGAUCCCUGUCGUGGGGAGCAUCGACGCCCGGACCAGACCUUUUGUGACGGUCCCGCGGUAGAGCAUGUAUGUUGGGACCCGAAAGAUGGUGAACUAUGCCUGAAUAGGGUGAAGCCAGAGGAAACUCUGGUGGAGGCUCGUAGCGAUUCUGACGUGCAAAUCGAUCGUCAAAUUUGGGUAUAGGGGCGAAAGACUAAUCGAACCAUCUAGUAGCUGGUUCCUGCCGA
rnacentral:rRNA from 2 species